AUUGAACGCUGGCGGCAUGCCUUACACAUGCAAGUCGAACGGUAACAGGUCUUCGGAUGCUGACGAGUGGCGAACGGGUGAGUAAUACAUCGGAACGUGCCCGAUCGUGGGGGAUAACGAAGCGAAAGCUUUGCUAAUACCGCAUAAGAUCUACGGAUGAAAGCAGGGGACCGCAAGGCCUUGCGCGAACGGAGCGGCCGAUGGCAGAUUAGGUAGUUGGUGGGAUAAAAGCUUACCAAGCCGACGAUCUGUAGCUGGUCUGAGAGGACGGCCAGCCACACUGGGACUGAGACACGGCCCAGACUCCUACGGGAGGCAGCAGUGGGGAAUUUUGGACAAUGGGCGAAAGCCUGAUCCAGCCAUGCCGCGUGCAGGAUGAAGGCCUUCGGGUUGUAAACUGCUUUUGUACGGAACGAAAAGACUCUGGUUAAUACCUGGGGUCCAUGACGGUACCGUAAGAAUAAGCACCGGCUAACUACGUGCCAGCCGCCGCCGCAGUAA
rnacentral:rRNA from 1 species